GAUGACAUGAUUACAUUCAUUGAGUGGUGCAGAAAGCUUUCAUUUAAAACCAAGUUCGCAAAGCAUAAUAGUGCAUAGUUCCACCUUCCACUACAUAUAUUUGCUGUUGGGUUUGCACCCCGGCAGAAUGUGUUACACUGAGGUCCCAUCACUGAGGUCCCAUCACUGAGGUCCCUUCACUGAGGUCCCAGUGCAUUAGUAGUGCCAUGUGCCAUGUGCAGCUUCCGAGGUGGUUCAACUCCUCUCUCGGCGCAAUUGGUUCAACCAUCCACGUCAGGGAGCCACACGCCAUUAUGCCAGACUUCAACAAAGUCUGGAAAUUUCCGCAGGUCGCCAAUCAAUGUCAAUCGAGUCCCAACCUGCCAACAACUGCCGCCGAGAUUUGAGAAAUUAUAAUGUCGUGUGAUCAGGCAGGGUUAGGCAACCUCCUGGCACGGAUUCCAAAGGGAUCCCAAAGGCGUGAAGAGAUUUGCUGCAGUAAUGGAGUAUAAGAUUUAUAUCCUGGUCACACGUGUCCAUUGUGGGGGAGCAGCGGUAUGUCAGAAUGUGUACCAUAGCAAUGCACCAUCAAUCACUUGUGGCCCGGGGUCGCAAUCACUCCUGGCUCGGGGUCCCGCCCAUGGUGAUGCACACGCAUGUUUGGGACGUGUUGCGCUUGGUGGCCAUUUUCGUGACGGAGGGGGAAGCACCCUGCCCUGUCACUCCCUUGCCCGGGGUAUUGCAAAAGUCCUCCAGCGUGCAUGCACCUGAACUCACCACCAAAAUGCUGAUGUUAAUGUCUACAUGCCUAUUUAGGCUAACUACUUGUGCUUCACUGCAAGCAUGCACAUGAAACGCUGCCCGCUGGAGUACUAAGUGUUGUAGACUUCAGACGACACAACCACAUAAUGGGGGCAUCGAAAGAUACCGAUUGAGACAAGUGUCUUGAAUAAAUAGUCAUCAGUGACUCCACUUGGGCCUCCC
rnacentral:lncRNA from 1 species